rnacentral:lncRNA from 1 species
UUUUCAUUCAUCUGUAGUUUAGAGAGAUAUCUACAUAUGUAUAUACAUAUAAAAUACAUAAAUCUGAUGGAUCAACGAGAAAUUCAAUGGAUGCAGAGCAAAUGUGGAGUCAAUCCUUCGGGCGCCAGUAAGUUGGUUUAGAUAUUUUAUGAGUCAAGGGUCAUGGGUUGCCAAAACAUCUUAGAGAUACAUAAAAGAAAUCAUUUUAAAAUGUUUAUGGAACCAGGUCCAGCAUAAGGACAUGAACUAAUGCGCGUUUCUUGUCGGAGAAUGGAGCUGAAUUCUAGGAAAAUCUUAUAGCAUAAAAUGGUAAACAAGCUGCUGUCUAAACUAUUCCUACAUAGAGACACAAAAUACGGUUUCUACUUCAAAAUGACGAUCGUUGACAUUCAUUUGGAACUGAUCCUUAAGUUAUUGUGCGGCUCUCUCUCUCCUGUCUCAAAAUCUCUCACAGUUUACACCUAGCAACGAGUAAA